UACGAAUUGGCCUGUUGUAAAGAAAUGCCCAGAACGUGGCUGCAUUAGCCACGGAAUGUGCGCUCUCCUCUCAUGCUUUACUCAUGAGCUCCUAGAAGAAAAAAGAUUAGGGCCUUCAGUAUUGCUUCAGCAAGAGAAGUGACUGUAGUGACUGCAACAGAUGCUUGGAGGGGUUAAAGAUGGCUUGCUGCUUUUUUAAAAAAAAAUUUUUAAUUGGUUGGGUCCUUCUUUUCAAGCUCAUCUGCUUCAGCAACAUGAAUAACUAUGCAAUGAACAUGAACAAACCGGCUUGUUGCACUAUUAUUUAAAGGCUUUAUCCUGGUCACGGUUGAGGAGGAUUCAGAGUCUAUCCUGGGAUCACAGGGGUGAAGGAGGAUUACAACCAGGAUGGGAUGCCAGCGCAACUAAGCUGCUCUAAGAAAUAUGUUUAACAGACACCAUGCACACACUCAUUCACACACUCACUCACAUCAUUCAUACAUUUGGAGUAGCCAAUGGAGAGGUGGAAGGAAACUGGAGAACCAGAAAGAAACGCAUGUGGGAUACAUCUGGAGCUGUGAGGCAUCAAUGCUACCCACUGUGACAUCCACUUUUUUCAAUCAUUAUUAUACUGUAGAUAUCACUGAAAUAAAAUUUUAUGCAUCAGUGUCUGGUUUCCUCCUUUAGGGGAAAGUGGUUUAUUUUAGGGUUUAAAAGAAU